AUGUCUGGGAAACUGCCCGAUGGAGGGGGAUAACUACUGGAAACGGUAGCUAAUACCGCAUAACGUCGCAAGACCAAAGAGGGGGACCUUCGGGCCUCUUGCCAUCGGAUGUGCCCAGAUGGGAUUAGCUAGUAGGUGGGGUAACGGCUCACCUAGGCGACGAUCCCUAGCUGGUCUGAGAGGAUGACCAGCCACACUGGAACUGAGACACGGUCCAG
rnacentral:rRNA from 1 species